rnacentral:ncRNA from 2 species
UUAACCCGGUGGGGGUGCCGACAAGGCUGAGAGGCAUGAUGCCAACCCUUAGAACCUGAUCUGGGUAAUGCCAGCGGAGGGAAACGGGGGACGAACAUC